rnacentral:lncRNA from 1 species
GUCCUUUUAGGGCCGCGUCCUCGGCAUAUAGGAGGUUCCCAUGCUAGGGGUCGAAUCAGAGCUGGAGCUGCUGGCCUACACCACAGCCACAGUAACACCAGAUCCGAGCUAUGUCUGUGACCUACACCACAGCUCAUGGCAACGCUGGAUCCUUAACCCACUAAGAAAGGCCAGGGAUCGAACCCACAACCUCAGGGUUCCUGGUUGGAUUUAUUUUCACUGAGCCAUGACGGGAACUCCCAAAGAACUAUUUUAAAAAUUAGCUACACAUCUACUCAUUUUGCCUUUAAAACUGAUGUUUACUUUACACAUUCAGCUGUUUUUAUCAGUUGAUAUAGUCCAUUUGCUGAGUUCCAUGUGUUUUUUUUAUGUUUUUCCUGUCUGGUAGAAAACUCACAUAUACCCUAAGUUAUUCUCCCCACCUUCUGAGCAUGGGUUAGAAUCCCAAGGUUCCUGUUUCCAGGCGAAUCUUCCACCAUCCACCAUCCACAUUUUUGUCAGUUCGUACCACACAAGUGAGAAAUUCCAAAUGGUAUCCAGUAGGGGGAGGUGUGCCCCUAAUCUCCCUCUAGUUCCAAUGUUUUUUUGUAGCCCUGAAGUUUUUUUGGUUUUGUGUGUUUUUAAAAUUUUUUAUUAUAGUUGAUCUACAGUGUUCUGUCAAUUUCUGCUGUAUAGCAAAGUGACUCAGUUAUACAUAUACAUGCAUUCUUUUUUCUCAUAUUAUCUUCUAUUAUGUUCUAUCACAAGUGAUUAGAUAUAGUUCCCUGUGCUAUACAGCAGGACCUCAUUGUUUAUUCAUUCUAAAUGUAAUAAUUUGCAUCUACUAACCCCAAACCCUCAGUCCAUCCCAGUUCCUCCCCCUUGGCAACCACAAGGCUGUUCUAUACGUCCAUGAGUUUGUUCCUGUUCUUACAUAGGUUCAGUUGUGCCAUAUUUUAGAUUCCACACAUAAGUGUUAUAAUAUGGUAUUUGUCUUUCUCUUUUUGACUGACUUCACUUACUAUGAGAAUCUCUAGUUCCAUCCAUGUUGCUGCAAAUGGCAUUAUUUUGUUCUUUUUAUGGCUGGGUAGUAUUCCAUUGUGUAUAUGUACUACAUCUUCUUAAUCCAUUCAUCUGUUGAUGGACAUUUUGAUUUUUUUUCAUGUCUCCACUAUUGUGAAUAGUGCUGCAAUGAAUAUAGGGAUGCAUAUAUCUUUUUGAAUGAAAGUUUGUCCAGAUAUAUGCCCAGGAGUGGGAUUUCUGGAUCAUACGGUAGUUCUAUAUUUAGUUUUCUGAGGAACUUCCUGUUUUCCAUAGUGGUUGUACCAAUUUACAUUCCUACCAACAGUGCAGAAGGGGUCCCUUUUCUUCACGCCCUCCCCAGAAGUAGACUUAUUAAUGAUAGCCAUUCUGACUGGUGUGAGGAGAUACCUCAUAGUUUUGAUUUGCAUUUCUCUAUUAAUUAGUGAUGCUGAGCAUUUUUUCAUGUGCCUGCUAUUAUCUGUCUUCUUUGGAGAAAUGUCUAUUUAGGUCUUCUUCCCAUUUUUCAAUUGGGUUGUUUGGGUUUUUUGCUGUUGAGUUUUAUGAGUUGUUUGUAUAUGCUGGAGAUUAAGCCCUUGUUGUUUGCAUCAUUUGCAACUAUUUUCUCCCAUUCCGUAGGUCAUCUUUUUGGUUCGUUUUAGGGUUUCCUUUGCUGUGCGAAACUGGUAAGUUUAAUUAGGUCCCGUUGGUUUAUUUUUGUUUUUAUUUCUGUUGCCUUGGGAGACUGAUGUAAGAAAACAUUUGUAUGCAGAUGACAUGAUACGGUGUAGAAAACCCUAAGGACUCCACACAAAAAUUACUCAAACUGAUCAACAAAUUUAGCAAAGUAGCAGGAUACCAGAUUAACAUUUAGAAAUUGGUGGAAUUGCUGUACAAUAACAAUGAAAUAUUAGAAAAGGAAUAUAAAAAUACAAUAUCUUUUAAAAUCACACCCCCCAAAAUUAAAUGCUUAGGAAUAAACCUGACCAAGGAGGUGAAAGACUUUUAUGCUGAGAACUAUAAAACAUUAAUCAAGGAAAUUAAAGAAGAUUCAAAGAAAUGGAAAGAGGUUCCAUGCUCCUGGGUUGGAAGAAUUAAUAUCAUUAAAAUUGACAUACUAUCCAAAGCAAUCUACAAUCAAAUUCAAUACAAUCCCUAUCAAAUUACCCAAGACAUUUUCCACAGAAUUAGAACAAACAAUCCAAAAAUUUAUAUGGAACUAUAAAAGGUCCAGAAUUGCCAAAGCAAUGCUGAAGAAAAAAAAUCCAAGCAGGAGGAAUAACUCCCCCAGACUUCAGACAAUAUUACAGAACUAUAGUAAUCAAGACAGUGUGGUACUGGUACAAAAACAAACAUAGAGACCAAUGGAACAGAACAAAAAACCCAGAAAUAAGCCCAGACACCUAUGGUCAAUUAAUCUCCAACAAAGGAGGCAAGAAUAUAAAAUGGGAAAGGUGGUCUCUUCAGCAAGUGGUGCUGGGAAAACUGGACAGCUGUAUGUAAAUCAGUGAAACUAUAACACACCCUCAUAACAUGCAUAAAAAUAAACUCAAAAUGGCUUAAUGACUUAAACAUAAGACAGGACACCAUCAAACUCCUAGAAAAGAACAUACGCAAAAUAUUCUCCGACAUCCACCUAUCCAAAUCAAUAUAUAAAACAUUAUCAGUGCCUCGGAGGCCCCUAUAUAGCAAUCUACACAUAAAUUUUGUACAUAAGAUUCACAUUUUCUGCUGUUUACUUUUUCCACUUAAGAAUAUUUUUAUGCCAAG